UGGGGAAUAUUGCACAAUGGGCGAAAGCCUGAUGCAGCGACGCCGCGUGAGGGAUGACGGCCUUCGGGUUGUAAACCUCUUUCAGUAGGGACGAAGCGCAAGUGACGGUACCUGCAGAAGAAGCACCGGCUAACUACGUGCCAGCAGCCGCGGUAAUACGUAGGGUGCGAGCGUUGUCCGGAAUUACUGGGCGUAAAGAGCUCGUAGGCGGUUUGUCACGUCGUCUGUGAAAUCCUAGGGCUUAACCCUGGACGUGCAGGCGAUACGGGCUGACUUGAGUACUACAGGGGAGACUGGAAUUUCUGGUGUAGCGGUGGAUUGCACAGAUAUCAGGAAGAACACCGAUGGCGAAGGCAGGUCUCUGGGUAGUAACUGACGCUGAGGAGCGAAAGCAUGGGUAGCGAACAGG
rnacentral:rRNA from 1 species